rnacentral:rRNA from 1 species
UACGUAGGGGGCAAGCGUUGUCCGGAUUUAUUGGGCGUAAAGAGCGUGUAGGCGGCUGGGUAGGUCCGUUGUGAAAACUCGAGGCUCAACCUCGAGACGCCGAUGGAAACCCUCCAGCUAGAGUCCGGAAGAGGAGAGUGGAAUUCCUGGUGUAGCGGUGAAAUGCGCAGAUAUCAGGAAGAACACCCGUGGCUAAGGCGGCUCUCUAGUACGGUACUGACGCUGAGGCGCGAAAGCGUGGGGAGCAAACAGG